rnacentral:lncRNA from 1 species
AAAAGCACCCUGAGAGAGAGAGAGAGAAUUCUCAGUGCUUCACACAGUGUGAAUCCUGAGAUUUUAUAGGACGGAGCCAUGGCACUUAAAACUGCUGUUAACUGUAUAGCGUAGAGACAAACUCUCACAGUAGUCCAGCCCCUAUAGACAAUGACAGUGACUCAGACACAGGGGCUGGUGCUGUGCCUGAAUUGCUAUUAGUCAAAGCUACCACCUGUUUGCUUGUCCUCAGUGAACCCAGAAGCCGGUAGAUGCAGAUGAAGAAACAGAGCGUUUCAGUUCCUAACAUCCCUCAGCCAGGAAGCGUCUUGAAAUACAUCAAGAAACUGAGGAUUUAAAAAACAAACAAACUACAAUUCCCAAAAUCCUCCAGCUAGCCUCC